CUCUCAACACAAAGAUCCUUUCUUAAGUUACGCAGAUUGAGAUAUGAGGUAAAAUAAUAUCUCAAUAGAUGACUAACCCUCAGGGGUUGGCCUGGUGGUAAUUGGCUUGAGCCUUGGGGUUUGCUCCCUUUCAAGGCUAAUCAUAUUUAGUCGUGUUUUCCUCUUCUUGUACUGGCAAGCAUCUUCACCCUCAAGUAAACUUCCCAUACAAGGAAUACUACUACUACUACUAACAAACAUCUCAUGACAAUUCCACCCCCAACCCAUAGAGAAAACAACAAAAAGGGGAAGAAAUAUAAGGUCAAAACAUUCUCCUCCAAAUCCACCAACAAAGAAAAAGGCAACAUACACAUGACAAGUUUCUCACUACCCCAUAAAAAAUUUGAAACAAGGAAGAUUAUCAACCCCAAACUCUUCUUAAAAAACAUCUUCCCAAAAGACUAUUAACCCCAUACAAGUCCGGGCAGGCUGCACAAAUCUUCUUUAACCAUUCACUUCAGGCCAUAAAAUUACAAGGUCGUUCAGAAUAGUUUACUCCCGCCAACCAAAAAAGAAAAA